rnacentral:rRNA from 1 species
AACGAACGCUGGCGGCAUGCCUAACACAUGCAAGUCGAACGAGACCUUCGGGUCUAGUGGCGCACGGGUGCGUAACGCGUGGGAACCUGCCUUUAGGUUCGGAAUAACUCAGAGAAAUUUGAGCUAAUACCGGAUGAUUUCUUCGGACCAAAGAUUUAUCGCCUUUAGAUGGGCCCGCGUUGGAUUAGCUAGUUGGUGGGGUAAAGGCCUACCAAGGCGACGAUCCAUAGCUGGUCUGAGAGGAUGAUCAGCCACACUGGGACUGAGACACGGCCCAGACUCCUACGGGAGGCAGCAGUGGGUAAUAUUGGACAAUGGGCGAAAGCCUGAUCCAGCAAUGCCGCGUGAGUGAUGAAGGCCUUAGGGUUGUAAAGCUCUUUUACCCGAGAUGAUAAUGACGGUAUCGGGAGAAUAAGCACCGGCUAACUCCGUG